GCACGGUAAUGGAUUUGUGGUGGGCCCUUCCCUAUGGGCCUCUCACAGUACACCCGUGCCAGAGUAAACUGCAGCCUCGAACCAUUGCCCAGCCUCCUUCUCUGGGCUGUGAGCACUGAAGGUGGUUGUACAGUG